CCUACGGGUGGCAGCAGUGGGGAAUAUUGGGCCAUGGGCGCAAGCCUGACCCAGCAACGCCGCGUGAAGGAAGAAGUCUUUCGGUUUGUAAACUUCUUUUAAGAGGGAAGAGCAGAAGACGGUACCUCUUAAAUAAGCCACCGCUAACUACGUGCCAGCAGCCGCGGUAAGACGUAGGUGGCAAGCGUUGUCCGGAUUUACUGGGUGGAGAGGGCGUGCAGCCGGGAAGACAAGUCAGAUGUGAUAUCCCGCGGCUCAACCGCUGAACUGCAUUGGAAACUGUUUUUCUUGAGUACCGGAGAGGUCAUCGGAAUUCCUUGUGUAGCGGUGAAAUGCGUAGAGAUAAGGAAGAACACCAGUGGCGAAGGCGGAUGACUGGACGGCAACUGACGGUGAGGCGCGAAAGCGUGGGGAGCAAACAGGAUUAGAUACCCUAGUAGUC
rnacentral:rRNA from 1 species